rnacentral:rRNA from 1 species
CUUGGUCAUUUAGAGGAAGUAAAAGUCGUAACAAGGUUUCCGUAGGUGAACCUGCGGAAGGAUCAUUACUGAGUUAGGGUCUUCCAUAGCCCAACCUCCAACCCCUUGUAUACACUAUUGCGUUUUAUUGUUGCUUCGGUGGGCCUAAAGUGCCCACCGAAGCCCAACAAAAAUCCUAGUAACGAUGUUGUCUGAGUUGAUCAAAGCAAUAAUUAAAACUUUCAACAACGGAUCUCUUGGUUCCCGCAUCGAUGAAGAACGCAGCGAAAUGCGAUAAGUAAUGUGUAUUGCAGAAUUCAGUGAAUCAUCGAAUCUUUGAACGCACAUUGCGCCCUUUGGCAUUCCGAAGGGCAUGCCUGUUCGAGCGUCAUGGUCAAACCUCAAGCCUAGCUUGGUAUUGGGUUGUCGCCUUGCCUGCCUGUGUACAGGUAGUGGCGUGCCUGAAAGUCAGUGGCAGUGCCUAAAUAGACUCAAGCGUAGCAGACUGGACUCGCUUUGGAGAAUCUUUGUAGGCUCUGUUGACAAAUUAUAAAUCAUGUUUGGACCUCGGAUCAGGUAGGGAUACCCGCUGAACUUAAGCAUAUCAAUAAGCGGAGGA